GAGUUUGAUCAUGGCUCAGGACGAACGCUGGCGGCGUGCUUAACACAUGCAAGUGGAGCGACGAACCAGGCUUCGGCCUGGGGCAAAGCCGCGAACGGGGUGAGUAACACGUGGGUAACCUGCCCUGAUGACCGGGACAACCCGAGGAAACUCGGGCUAAUACCGGAUGUGCUCCCACCACAUCAGUGAUGUGAGUAAAGAUAGCUUCGGCCUUCGCAUCGGGAUGGGCCCGCGGCGCAUUAGCUUGUUGGUGGGGUAACGGCCUACCAAGGCAACGAUGCGUAGCUGGUCUGAGAGGACGAUCAGCCACACUGGGACUGAGACACGGCCCAGACUCCUACGGGAGGCAGCAGUGGGGAAUCUUGCGCAAUGCGCGAAAGCGUGACGCAGCAACGCCGCGUGGGGGAAGAAGGCCUUCGGGUUGUAACCGU
rnacentral:rRNA from 1 species